CCCUUAGAUGUUCUGGGCCGCACACGCGCUACACUGAAGGAGGCAGCGUGUACUCCUGGAUCGAAAGAUUUGGGUAACCCGCGAAUCUCCUUCGUGCUAGGGAUUGAGGUUUGCAAUUAUACUUCAUGAACGAGGAAUUCCCAGUAAGUGCAAGUCAUAAGCUUGCGCUGACUACGUCCCUGCCCUUUGUACACACCGCCCGUCGCUACUACCGAUUGAAUGAUUUAGUGAGGACUUCGGACUGGGACCGAUGCGGCUUUCGGGCUGCGUCGGUAUUCUGGAAAGAUGUCCAAACUGUAUCAUUUAGAGGAAGUAAAAGUCGUANCA
rnacentral:rRNA from 1 species